rnacentral:misc_RNA from 1 species
GAUGAAGAACGUAGCGAAAUGCGAUAAGGAGUGUGAAUUGCAGAAUUCAGUGAAUCAUCGAAUCUUUGAACGCACAUUGCGCCCCUUGGUAUUCCAUGGGGCAUGCCUGUUCGAGCGUCAUUUGUACCUUCAAGCUCUGCUUGGUGUUGGGUGUUUGUCCUUGCUCUAGUGGCGGGACUCGCCUUAAAGUAAUUGGCAGCCAGUGUUUUGGUUUUGAAGCGCAGCACAAGUCGCGAUUCAAGUCUAUACGCUAGUUUCCACAAGUCUUUUAUCACUUUUGACCUCGGAUCAGGUAGGGAUACCCGCUGAACUUAAGCAUAUCAAUAAGCGGAGGA